ensembl:vault_RNA Vault Vault RNA
GUGGAGGUUUAGCUCAGUGGUUACUUCCUAACUAGCGUUUCUCUAACCUCGCGGGUUCGCGCCCUGAGGAUCUACCACGGGUGCUGUCCUCUGCUUUU